rnacentral:rRNA from 1 species
UACAGAGGGUGCGAGCGUUGUCCGGAAUCACUGGGCGUAAAGGGCGCGUAGGCGGCUUGAUAAGUCAAAGGUGAAAUCCCUCGGCUCAACUGAGGAACUGCCUUUGAAACUGUCAGACUUGAGGCCGGGAGGGGGUAGCGGAAUUCCCAGUGUAGCGGUGAAAUGCGUAGAUAUUGGGAGGAACACCGUGGCGAAGGCGGCUACCUGGACCGGUUCUGGACGCUG